rnacentral:lncRNA from 1 species
AAACCCAUAACUCAUAAUCAAAAUUCCAGCUUAACCAAGUAGUAACAUUCAGUAGGCAACAAUGUGAAAAAAUUAUACUAAUCAAAGAGAGAGAAUCCCAUGUCAUCGUCACUUUCCUCUUUCUCUUCCUUCUUCUCCUCAGCAGCAGGUGCCUCAGCUGCANNNNNNNNNNNNNNNNNNNNNNNNNNNNNNNNNNNNNNNNNNNNNNNNNNNNNNNNNNNNNNNNNNNNNNNNNNNNNNNNNNNNNNNNNNNNNNNNNNNNNNNNNNNNNNNNNNNNNNNNNNNNNNNNNNNNNNNNNNNNNNNNNNNNNNNNNNNNNNNNNNNNNNNNNNNNNNNNNNNNNNNNNNNNNNNNNNNNNNNNNNNNNNNNNNNNNNNNNNNNNNNNNNNNNNNNNNNNNNNNNNNNNNNNNNNNNNNNNNNNNNNNNNNNNNNNNNNNNNNNNNNNNNNNNNNNNNNNNNNNNNNNNNNNNNNNNNNNNNNNNNNNNNNNNNNNNNNNNNNNNNNNNNNNNNNNNNNNNNNNNNNNNNNNNNNNNNNNNNNNNNNNNNNNNNNNNNNNNNNNNNNNNNNNNNNNNNNNNNNNNNNNNNNNNNNNNNNNNNNNNNNNNNNNNNNNNNNNNNNNNNNNNNNNNNNNNNNNNNNNNNNNNNNNNNNNNNNNNNNNNNNNNNNNNNNNNNNNNNNNNNNNNNNNNNNNNNNNNNNNNNNNNNNNNNNNNNNNNNNNNNNNNNNNNNNNNNNNNNNNNNNNNNNNNNNNNNNNNNNNNNNNNNNNNNNNNNNNNNNNNNNNNNNNNNNNNNNNNNNNNNNNNNNNNNNNNNNNNNNNNNNNNNNNNNNNNNNNNNNNNNNNNNNNNNNNNNNNNNNNNNNNNNNNNNNNNNNNNNNNNNNNNNNNNNNNNNNNNNNNNNNNNNNNNNNNNNNNNNNNNNNNNNNNNNNNNNNNNNNNNNNNNNNNNNNNNNNNNNNNNNNNNNNNNNNNNNNNNNNNNNNNNNNNNNNNNNNNNNNNNNNNNNNNNNNNNNNNNNNNNNNNNNNNNNNNNNNNNNNNNNNNNNNNNNNNNNNNNNNNNNNNNNNNNNNNNNNNNNNNNNNNNNNNNNNNNNNNNNNNNNNNNNNNNNNNNNNNNNNNNNNNNNNNNNNNNNNNNNNNNNNNNNNNNNNNNNNNNNNNNNNNNNNNNNNNNNNNNNNNNNNNNNNNNNNNNNNNNNNNNNNNNNNNNNNNNNNNNNNNNNNNNNNNNNNNNNNNNNNNNNNNNNNNNNNNNNNNNNNNNNNNNNNNNNNNNNNNNNNNNNNNNNNNNNNNNNNNNNNNNNNNNNNNNNNNNNNNNNNNNNNNNNNNNNNNNNNNNNNNNNNNNNNNNNNNNNNNNNNNNNNNNNNNNNNNNNNNNNNNNNNNNNNNNNNNNNNNNNNNNNNNNNNNNNNNNNNNNNNNNNNNNNNNNNNNNNNNNNNNNNNNNNNNNNNNNNNNNNNNNNNNNNNNNNNNNNNNNNNNNNNNNNNNNNNNNNNNNNNNNNNNNNNNNNNNNNNNNNNNNNNNNNNNNNNNNNNNNNNNNNNNNNNNNNNNNNNNNNNNNNNNNNNNNNNNNNNNNNNNNNNNNNNNNNNNNNNNNNNNNNNNNNNNNNNNNNNNNNNNNNNNNNNNNNNNNNNNNNNNNNNNNNNNNNNNNNNNNNNNNNNNNNNNNNNNNNNNNNNNNNNNNNNNNNNNNNNNNNNNNNNNNNNNNNNNNNNNNNNNNNNNNNNNNNNNNNNNNNNNNNNNNNNNNNNNNNNNNNNNNNNNNNNNNNNNNNAAGAAUGUAUUUUGGAAUAGUAGAUUGAUAGAGAAUGUAUGAUUAAAAAUUAUGAAAACGUUCUAAAUUUGCGUAUAAUAUUAUUUUAUUGAAAAAUAUGUUGUUGAAAUGAUGUAAGAUAACUAUUUAAGAAUGUAUUUUUUCAAAAUAAUGAGACUCAAGCACCACAUUAAUCAUCCUUCCUAGUAGAAAACAACCAACAACUUAAGCAUUGGAAUGACGUCACGCUCCAUAUUUUCAAUAACCCACCUGCCUAACAUUGAAUUGUUUUGAAGAUUCUAGUUAAGUUUUGGGUUGAACCAAUUGAGGCGAGAGGGAAGCAAUAGACAAACUGAGCUUAGCAGACAUCAAGGACACAGCUAAAAUGCAGGCUGUAAGGAAAUAUCAGAUACAAGAUAGGUUAACUUUUCGUUAACCCCCUUAUACAUUUCUUCUCAAAUUCCCUGCCAAUCGUACAGUUCCGUGUAUGUAAUAUGCAGUUUCUUAGAUGAAUAAUCAACAUGAAAGCACCUGUUGCUAAUUAUCUAGUAAUAAAGAUUGAAAUAUUUCUUCACCGUCCCCAAGCGAAAAAAAAAAAUUGAAAAAGAAGGCUGAGAGCCCAUACAAGGCAAACAGAAAAAUGCAUAUAAAUGGCCACACAAAUUUAUGCAGAGAUAAAUUCUACUGGAAAAUGCAGUUAAGCAUAAACAAUCUUUUACCAUAGAUAUUCAAAACCCAAUAAAAGCAAGCAACGUCUAUAAACCCAAAACUCAUAUCAUUAAAAUUUCAGCUUAACCAAGUAGUAACAUUCAGUAGGCAACAAUGUAAAAAAAUUAUACUAAUCAAAGAGAGAGAAUCCCAUGUCAUCGUCACUUUCCUCCUUCUCUUCCUUCUUCUCCUCAGCAGCAGGUGCCUCAGCUGCAGCGCCAGCAGCUGCUGCUCCACCUCCUCCAAUGAAUGCACCACCACCAACACCACCACCAAUAAUCACCUGUGCCAUUGCAACAGAUUCAAUUAUAUAUUGUAACAUAAGCAUCCCUAGAAGGAACCUAACAAGAGUUCUAGAAAAUUCGACUAGUACCCUAGAUUUUUACACUAUAAAAUAAUGAGAAUUCGGGGUUUAAUGACAGAACUAAACUAUAAUUCCUGCAAUAGAAAGGUACAAUUUUCUGAAGUCAAAUGUACACACGUCAGUGUUGCCCGCUUCGCAAUAAAGUCUUAUACAUGCCACAUUAGACCAAAACAUAAAAUAGAGGGAAUGACGCAUAUUAAUCAGAACAACACUCGUCGAAUCAUUAAGUUACGAAUGAAGAUAUAUAAAUAUAUAUAUAUAAUUCAAUAUACAAAGAAACCUGGAAAACGGCGGAGGAAGGUGUGACGUAAGAGAAAGAAGACUGGACGGCACUGGAUGAGUCAGCGGAGAGGGCGGCUUGGACUAGCUUGCGCUGCAGCUCGAAGGUGGAGCCAGCGGACGACUCCAGCUCGCCGUUCAGCUGCUUAGCCGUCCACUCGUCAUCUGAACUCCUGCACACGAACGUGAACACUCCCAUUUCUCUUUUUUUUUCCCCUCUGAAUUUGAUCGGAUUUGGCUUGCUUAAGGGCUUUUGAGUGAGGCGGAUAAUGACACAGUGACACACCAAUGCAAGGGUCCAGGGUUUUAGUUAGGGAUGAUAUGGGUGAUAUGACUAACUUGUCCUCGAAUUUUUUCAGUAAUGACAAUUUUAUUUGUUCCAUUUUUUUCUUUUUUCUUUUUUAUUUUUUCUACCUUUUUUCUCUAUCCUUUGGCCAAGUAGCAAUUAUUUUUUCUUCAACAUUUUUUUUUUUUUGGGUAACAAAUCCAUCCCCAGCCUUCGUCAAUUAGAACGUUAUGAAUAUUUUUACAACGAAAAAAAGUUAAAAACAUAAUUUCUACUUUGUUAUAGAAACAUUAUAGAUAGCUAAUGUAGAUAGAAAUAUUUGUUCAAAAAACAUUAUGAAUCAUGAGGCUCAUUUCAUUGAAAUUCCCUUAUCUUCCUUUCUUCUUCUUUGAUGGUCUAGGGACCUUCUUCUCCGCAAUAAAUGUGUAGGGAGAGGAAGAAUUACGGGGUGGGUGUUUGGGGGAUAGGAUUUUGGAGAAUCAAAGUUUGGGGACUUUGGAAUUAAUUCGAGCAGUUUUUGACUUGGUUUCUAACUAUUUCUCAUUUUUUUCAGUAAAAAACAUGUUUUACAGAAGCUCGCCUUUCUUAUGUGACAAGCCUUUCGCUCAUGAUUGAUCACAUAACAGUGUUGGGGCACAGCUUUGCAUUCGAUCUGUCAAGUCAGCUAUUUUGUGAGAGUUACUAAACAAAAAUCAUUCCAGUGAGUAACGUAUUUUGAUAUGUUUAAUGAUCAAAAUUUGACAUUUGAAAUUGUAGUAAAUAAUCGAAGACAUUGACCUAAAUUUUUUGAUUAUUGGGAUAAUAAUACCAUAAGUACAUAUAGAACUUUACAAUUACAAAUUCCAAGACAUUCCGUGGUCAGAAUUGUGAUCUUUCAUAUUUUAAAGAACUUUGCUAUAUUUACAGAAAAUGAGCUACAAGAAAUAAUACAGACACACUUGACUACAAUUUGUCGGCUAAGAACAAAAUACAAAAAAGAGGCACCAGAUGCAACAUGUGGUGCAGUUCUGACAGUAAUUGCUCCGUUCAAGAGGAAUUGUUGUAUUUCAAAAUAUGAAUUUAGUAUUUUACGUAGAGUAAUCAUCCAUGUUUGAAAUAAGAGCACCCAAUUUAUUUUUAUUGUUUAUUUUUCUUAUUUGGGUAUUGAUAUAAUAUGCUGCUUUGGACACAAUAUGCUUUCCAUUAAACUUAUUCGCCUUUGAUAAAUAAUUGCACCACAAAUAAUAUAUACACGAAAGCAACAGUAAUAUGCAACAAAUUCAUGUUUAAAAAUUCGAUAGUACUACGUGUACAUAAUAAGUUUACAUAAUGAUUUACAUAUACAUUUUGUGGUGAUUGAAUUAGAAUUUCUUCAAUAAAAAAAAAGGACUUUGUCAUUCUCUUUUUGACACCUCAUUUAUAUAUAAACUAUUAUAUAAUUACUUAUAUACAAGUAACGUUAUGCUAAAAAAUUUUACAUGUAUAAGAACAAAUAUGUGACGGUUUAUGCAUGCAAGUUUUUGGAAAAUUUGAAUAAUCAAGUAUAGAGGUUGGCUCUGAUAACACAUGUAAGAGAUUAGUUGCGUACAUCCACUCAUGAUAUUCAAGAUGCAUUUGAAAACUUGCACUUUAAAAGAGACCUCACAAUCCCAACAUGUCUUCUAGUCAGUAGCCACUAGAUAAUCCUUGACUUGAUGGAACUAACACAUCUGUAUAAUUUUGAUUGGCACCCUUUGUAUCUUUACUCAAUAUACACAAAUUUCUCAUCCAGAAAAAGAUAAGAUUUUAAAUAUUGUGGAUUCGUGAAAAAAGGAAAGUCAACUGCCUUACUUUUAUAUAUCAAUACAUCAAUUUCGAUCACCAUAGAGUUGGUGGUUUCUCCCUCAAUACCUUCUCCUCAAUAACCUAGUGAAAGGUUAUUAUGACAGUUAAUUAACUUACUAUUUAAAUUUAAAUUUUAAAUUAAUUCAUUAAGCAUGUGAGCCAUAUAUUUUUCCAUAUUUGAGAUCAAGAUGAAGCAACUUGAUUAGCUACUUUAUAUAUGUAGAUAAUUCUUUAAGUCCAUACAAAGCAUCAAGGCAGCUAGCUGCCUUUCUCAAUCUUGGAUUCUCACCCAAAUCAUAUUUCUUAUUAAGUUUCUGUUUGGUAGGAAUUAAAAUAUAAAUUUAAAUUUAAAUUAAAUUCAAAAAUUAAUUUUAAUAAAAUAUUUCAUAAAAUCCACCAUUUUUCAACCAUGCACGUCAUAAGCUUUUACUCAAAACUACUUAAAAAUUGAUUUUAAUCCCCAUUAAACAUGGACUAAGUUAAUCUGCAAUUUUUAUUGGAAGUGCAUCAAAUAAUAACUUCAACUGUUGGCUUUUAUUUUGACUUAUCAGCCUUUUUCUUAAUUAUAUAAGCAACCAUUAUAAAAAACAGACAAUGUGACAUUUUCGUGUCGUUGGUCAAACAUCAAAUACAAAGCCACGAUAACAUAUCAAGUUUCAUACACUAAAAAGUUUGCAUGUCAACUUCAUUAAUUCCUCAUCUCAGCUGAUUCUAUUCCCAGAAUAAUUUUGAAGGCAUUCUCAUCAAUCGUAGAUAAUGGACAGUCCGUCCCCUUUGGAUUCCAAUUAUAGCAGUAAACUUAUAGUUGCACUCUCUCUAACGUAAAGAAGAGCAAGUUUCUAUGGGUGAGACGACAUUCCAUUUGUUGAAUUUGUGUUGACUCGAGAAGAUAACGUUAUUCUUUUAUUAACUCGAAAGUCAUUUUACUUAUGAAGAUGGAACACAGUUUGGGCUAACUCAUGUUUAUUUUUUUAUUUCCUUUCAUUUAAAAAAAAAAAAAAGAGAAUUAAUCCCUAAGUACGGGGAUUAAUUUCAUAGAGGCCUGUUGGGUCCCUCACUGUAGCAGGCGGGCCCCACAUGUAAAUAAAAAAAACUGCGGCGACUCCAUUGUCUGUGUGUAUCCUGGUAGUAGGUCCUGUACUUCAAGCAUGAUUGAAAAAAAAAAGGGUUUGUUUCUUAUUGUUAAUAGUUUAGGUAUUAUUUUAGGAUUUAAUGAGAGAUGAAAGUAAGGAUUGGAGAGUUUUCUCUAAAAACUAAAAAUUAACACUAGCUAGGUUUCAUUGUUAGAUAGUUUUUGAUCAUUUAAUAUUGAACUUUGGCAUUUGAUAUUCUUUAUAAAUUAACUAACUCUUAAUUUUCAAACUCUCGAGUAUUUACAUAGUCAAUGAGGCUUCAGAGUAAAUAAUCAAAUCGAAAGCCCCCCGGGACACAGCUCAAUUGGUGGAUCAAUCAACAUUAGUCUUGCUUCCAGCGGCAGGGUGGAGGUUCGAAUCCUGGUGGGAACCUGCGACCAAAAAUUUGGUAUGGAGCAAUCACUUUGGAGGAGGAUCUCUUGUGCGCAGAAAUGUACAGGCGAUGGGGGGAACAUGUGAUUUAAUUGAGGCAUAAUCCGCGAUUUAUCCCCCCCAAAGUUUUAGGGGCAAGGGUUUUGGGGGUCCAGGAUUUAGUCUAGUGUAAGUUGGGAUACCUGGAUAUCAAAAAAAAUAAUAAUAAAAAAAAAAUCAAAUCAAAAAAUGAAUCAAGAAUUAGUCUAAAAAAAAGGACAUUUCUUGCGUAUUGGGAUGAGAAUAUGUCUCCUCCAUUUGUUGCCCCCCUCACCCAUUAGAAUCGGAUAAUAAAGACUUCUUUUUAACUAUUUAAAGGGUGCUGCUCCAUUUUAUGUAUACCAUCUCCACAUAAUUAAAUUGGCGGAGGAAAUGUUUUGUCUGAGGGGCUUUGCAUGAAGUGGAAGAGUGGAACGUAGCCAGGAAUGAUUUGCCGAUGUCUAUAUGUAUAGCUGCAAAAAAUUGUGCUUGCAGUUGCUUUCGAACGGCAAGUUAUUCUUGGCUAUGUUCGACUCUCUUCAUCUAAUGCAAGGCUCUCGAGGCACAUAACUAAAGGUAAAUUUGAACUUAUUUAUAAGUAACUUUUUUGUUAAUGAUUGUGUGACCUUAUGAACAUUUUCAAGAUUUUCUUCUGCUUUGUGGUUGUGAACACUCAAGUGGCGGAUUUAGUAGAGACUAGGCUAGAUUGGACUUUAGCCGAGUCCCCCAACCGAUUUCAAUUUUUUAAGAGCAAAUAUUUAUAUUUUUUAUAAGUAAAAUACUUCUUUUUAUGUAUAAAUUUUAUUUUAUUUUACAUAUUAGUCCUGUUAAAAAAAAAAUAGUUCAGUCCUGAAUCUGUCCCUACGAACACUUGUGUUCAGAUCCCAGCUUCCAUGCAAUUAACUUUUAUUAUUUUUUUGGAGAAAUUUGCACAAUCAAUCUUUUACCUUUAGUUCUAUUUGAGAAGCAAACCCACCUACAAAUUAACCAAAACAAUUGAUUAGUGUAAGGAUUUGCAAAGUAAAUUGAAGAAAAUCAAGACCAAAAUCUGAAAAUAAAAGGAACAGUUUUCCCCUUUAUGAUUCGGCUCAGAAACUUGAUCCACACCACAAAGGUAUCUCCAAUUUGAAGGUCAUUAUCAGUCACAUAUACAGAUUCACAAAGAAAAGGCAAGAGAAGAUUGAUUCGUUUUUUGCUCUCGUUUUUGGUGUGUUUAAUGGAAGGGAAGAGUCUCCUAUUUAUAGACUUAUAGGAGUGAAUGAAUUUCACAGGAGUCUUCAAGAUUAGAUUGAAUAAAAAUUGCAAGAUUAUAUCCAAACUGAAAGAUAGAGCUCAUCCAACAAAAUGAGAUAAAAUUGGUUUGAUAAAGAUAACGAUAAUAUUUAUCCAUUUUUUCAUAUGAAUUUCAAAUUCCCUCCAAGUUGGGUAUUGGGCAUCCAACCCAAUGGGCUGAUUACCUCUAAAUACCUAACAUAAUUGGGCUACUUCAAUUGUGGUGUGGAUUUAAUUCUUCAAUCCUGGGCUUAUAGCCUAUAAAGUUAAAACGGGCCUCGAUUUUUCAUCAUAGCCUAGGGGAUUUGGGCAUCACUUACCAAUCAUGCCCAACAAUCUCCACCUUGAUGCCAAAUCAUCCUGCAAGUCAGAUAAGAUAACAAAUAGCUUAAGGGAAGAGACUUACAAGUUUGUGCCGAUAUUUAGAAGAUCAAGGCAGCUUCUAAACUUUAUCAAUGGGAGCACCUUAGUUCCCAUAUCAGCAGGAUUAUAUUCUGAAAGGACUUUCUCAAGUUUUACCAGUUCUUGAGAAACCAUAUCUCUAAUGAAAUGCAAUCUAACAUCUAUAUGUUUAGUACGUUCAUAAAAGACAGGAUUUUUGCAUAGGUGAAUAGCAGAUUGACUAUCAGAAUAUAUUAUCACAUUGUCCUUCAAAACACCAAGUUCAUUUAAUACACCUUUAAACCACAAAGAUUCUUUAAAGGCUUCAGUAGCAGCAAUGUAUUCUGAUUCAGUAGUAGAUAAUGCAACAACAUGUUGAAGUUGUGAUUUCCAACUAACACAUGAAUUACACAAAGUAAACAUGUAGGAAGAUGUAGAUUUCCUAUUAUCUCUAUCACCAGCAUAGUUAGCAUUAGUAAAACCUUUCAAUUUUAUUCCUUCAGUACUAAACUUAUAUAGUAAGCCAAUAUUGCAUGUUCCUUUCAAAUAUCUAAACAACCAUUUCAGAGCCUCCCAAUGUUUGGGACCCGGGUUGGAUAUAUACCUGCUAAGUGUACUAACAGCAAAAGCUUAGUCAGGUCUAGUACACACCAUUAGAAACAUCACAGAACCAAUGGCAUUUGUAUAUGGUAUUCGUUUCAUAUAUUCUUCUUCUUCUUCAUUAGCAGGUGAUUGUUCUUUAGAUAAUACAAAGUGAUUAGCUAAAGGUAAUGUAACAGGUUUACAUUCAUUCAUACCAAAUUUUUUCAAAAUUUUCAUGAUAUAUGAAGCCUGAUGUAAGAAUAAAAUUGAUUUAGACCUAUCUCUUUGAAUUUCCAUACCUAAUAUUCUUUUAGCAUUACCUAGAUCUUUCAUAUCGAAUUCAUUACUUAAAGUAGUUUUUACAUCAUUUACCAACUUCAAGUUGGGACCAAUCAAAAGCAUAUCAUUCACGUAUAGCAACAAAAACACACAGUCAUUAUUGUUUGCAUUACCUUGAUAGUACAAGCAAUGAUCAAAUUCACUCCUUUUAAAACCAAUUGUUUUAACAAACGAAUCAAAACGUUUGUACCAUUGUCUAGGAGAUUGUUUUAAACCAUACAAAGAGCGUUUAAGAAAACACACAUGAUCAGAUUUUUGUUUAUUUUCAAAACCUUUAGGUUGAUCCAUAAAAAUCUUUUCAUCAAGUUCUCCAUGUAAAAAAACAGUUUUAACAUCAAGUUGUUCAAGUUCCCAAUUGAAAUGUGCUACUAAUGCAAGCAUAGUCCUAAUUGUGGUAUACUUAACAAUUGGAGAAAAGAUCUCAUUAUAAUCUACCCCUUCCUUUUGUGUGUAACCUUUGGCCACAAGUCUAGCCUUAAACUUUAAACCCUCUUCUUUGGUAAUUCCCUCCUUAAUUCUAAAAACCCAUUUACACCCAAUUGUUAACUUGUUUUUAGGUCUUGGGACUAAUUCCCAUGUUUGAUUUUUAUCGAGGGAAUUUAUUUCUUCUUUCAUCGCUUUCACCCAAUCCUCAGAUUGUUCACUCCUUAAGGCUUCUUCAUACGUGUUUGGUUCCCUAUCAACUAGUUCUUCAUAACUAGCAUAAGCAAGCUCAAAAUUAGACUCUAAUCUUUGAGGCACUCUAUGUGUUCUUCUAACUCUGUCUCUAGCUAACUGGUAAUCAGAUAAAGGGUUUUGCUUUCCUUGAUAUUCCUCUAUAACUUCAUUUCUCUCAAUAUUUUCACUCUGAUUAUCUUCUAGUUCAGGAUUUUGAUGCUCCACCUCGAUUGAGGUAGUGGGGGUUUGAACACUUAAGGACCUUAAAUUUACUUGAGAUUUGUUACUAAUGUUUUCUUGUUGUUUUUCUCUCAAGAUGUCAUUUUCUGAUUUUAGACAUGGCAUUUCAGACUCAUUAAAUGUAACAUCACGACUUAUGAUAAUCUUAACUCCAUUUUGACUUCUAUCCCAAAGCCUAUACCCUUUAACUCCUUCAGGAUAUCCUAAGAAAACACAUUUCCUAGCUCUAGGUUCUAGUUUUCCCUCAUUUUGAUGAGAGAAAACAGCACAGCCAAAAGUUUUUAACAUAGUAUAGUCAGCACAUUUACCAUACCAUUUUUCAUGUGGAGUAUCACCAUUUAAUGCAGUAGAAGGUGUCAAAUUAAUUAGAUAACAUGCAGUGAUAACAGCUUCACCCCAAAAAGAUUUAGGAAUUCCAGAACUCAACAUCAUACAUCUAACUUUGUCAAGUAAAGUACGAUUCAUACGUUCAGCCACCCCAUUUUGUUGAGGUGUAUAAGGAACAGUUUUAUGUCUAGUAAUUCCACACUUUUUACACAAAUCAUCAAAAUCAUUAUUACAGAACUUUAGGCCGUUAUCAGUUCUUAGAUAUUUUAUCUUUUUGCCAGUUUGAGUUUCAACUUGCAAUUUCCAUAUUUUGAAAAAUUUAAAGGUUUCAGUUUUAUCUUUUAACAGAUACACCCACACCCUACGAGAGUAAUCAUCAAUUAUGAACAUAAAAUAUCUAUUACCACCCAUUGUAGGAUUAGUAGCAGGCCCCCAUAAAUCAGUAUGAAUAUAUUCCAAGACUUUAGUAGUUUUAUGCAUACUAUAUGAAAAAGAUGACCUACGAUGUUUACCAAGUACACAGUGAUCACAGAAAAACAUAUUAGACACACAGUCUUUUCCAAAUACACCUUUAUCAUUUAGCAGUUUAAGUCCUUUAAUACUUAUGUGAGCUAAUCUAUUAUGCCACUUGUGUGUGUCAUCAGUGUUGGUCAAAUUUAUAGAAGAAAUUGAUUUUUUAACAAUUUCAGCAGUGGUCACAUAAAUACUGUUUUUUUAGUACCUUUACAUGUGACAAGAGCACCCUUAAUCAUUUUAAGCAUAUUGUUUCCAAUUUUACUAGUAAAACCAUCAGUUUCUAAUGCUCCAACUGAAAUAAGAUUCUUAGCCAUUUCAGGAAUAUAUCUAACUCCAUGUAAUUUAAGCACAUAACCAGUGUCAAAUUUUAACGUGAUAUCACCAAUGCCAGCAAUUUUAUAUGCAUGAUUAUUGCAUAAAAUGACAUGACCACUUACAGAUUCUUGCAUAUUUUCAAACCAGUCUUUAUUUGCUGAAACAUGAAAUGAUGCACCAGAAUCAAGUAUCCAUUCAUUUAAUUAUGAUUUCACAGUCAAAUUUACUUCAGUAGGUUCAGAGUUUAAUAGCACAUAUACUUCACAAAAUUCAUCAGAGGAAGUAAUAACAUUUGCCUCAUCGUGAACCCUUUCCUUUUGUUUGUUUUUCUCAACAUAACAAUCUUUAAUGAAGUGUCCAGUUUUACCACAACCAUAACAUUUUCUACCUUUAGUUUUAUUUCUUGACCUAGAUAAACUUCUACUUUUCUUUUUAUUAUCCACUUUGGUCAUCAAGGGUUCUUGACUGAGACCUACCUCUCAUAAUAUGUAUCUCACCACUUCUUCUCUCGACUCUCUCAGCUCGCAUUUCCAUUUCUUUACUUCUUAACGAGUCUAUGACAAUUUCAGUUGUCAAAGUAUCUCUCUCAUAUUUAAUAGCAUUUUUAACAUCUCUAUAAGUUUCAGGGAUAGCAUUUAACAAAAUUAUUGUUUUAUAUUCCUCAGAUACUUUUUCACCACAGUUAGUAAUAUCUUGUACGAGUUUAUUAAAGAUAUCCAAAUUAUCAUCAAAAUCUUUUGAAGAAUUGAUUUUGAAGCUAAAAAAGCUUUCAAGUAGAAAAAGUUUGUUUGGAGUUGACUUAGACACAUAAAGUUCCUCCAAUUUUUCCCAAAGUUUUUGAGCUGAUUUUAAUUUACCAACUUUUCUUAAUACCGCAUCAGACAGGUGUAAUAUUAUAGAAGCGUAUACCAAUUCAUCCAUAUUUUCUUUUUCUUCAUUAGUCAAGUUUGCAGAAUAAGAGUCAUCAAUAGCUUUAGAAAUUUUUUGUUGAACAAGAAUACCUUUCAUUUUUUGUUGCCAAAUUGAAAAAUCUCCUUUACCAUUAAAGACACCCAACUCAAAGUGAUGUGUAGACAUUUUACCAAAAAAUGCACAAAACACAAAUUCAGAUAUGUAAAAGUCACAGGUCACACAGAUUACACGGAGUAACAAGAUUCCUAUGGUUUCACAAUAAUGCACUAUUCUAGAACCCCAGGGUUUCGUGAGAAUCGAGUUCUCACAUCAAGGGAAGAACUAGAAUAGGAGUCCGGGUACAAGUCUAAAAUAAUACGAGAUAACGCAACAACGUUCAACAAAUUAAUCUAAUGAAAAUUAAACAAAUAAUGGCAAGUAAUCCUAGGUUCUAUGAACAAGCAAUGGUUGCCUAGCAAUGACAACCCCCAAUCCUAAUGAUCACCCCACACGAUGAUCUACUAGUGCGAUAAUGUAGAGUUUCGGCCAAUUUACUAGAGCGGACUUGUCUGAGUCCGUAAAUUACGAGAGAUGCGAAUUUAAUACUUUAGGCCGCAAUUUUUUUUUUGGCUUAAAGUAAUUCAGUAAAUAUAUGGCAAUUUCGACCGUUAAUUCACCAAGGGCAAAAUCGUCCAACUUUUUCUACGUAACCUGAAACAGAAAACUUCCAACACAAAAAAUGUUAGAAAUGACGAGAGGAACAAACUGCCUGAAGACAGUUUCGCCGAAAUAGCCUCCACGCGUCGUCACCGGAAUCUCCACGCGCCGUCGCCACGCGCCGCCGUCGAAAUCACGCGCCGAACACCCAGCACCGCCUUCACCUGCACGUCUCAACCCCGGUCUCCAUUUCACCAAUGGACUUCUGGAUUGACGGGAAAACGCGUUUGCAGGUUCGGUUUUUAGUGCAAAAACUGGGCAGUUCGUUUUUUUUUGCUUUUCUGCCGGUUUCUUGUCAGUUUUUGGCCGGAUUUUCACCACCACCAAGCUCUGAUACCAAUUGAGAAGCAAACCCACCUACAAAUUAACCAAAACAAUUGAUUAGUGUAAGGAUUUGCAAAGUAAAUUGAAGAAAAUCAAGACCAAAAUCUAAAAUAAAAGGAACGGUUUUCCCCUUUAUGAUUCGGCUUAGAAACUUGAUCCACACCACAAAAGUAUCUCCAAUUUGAAGGCCAUUAUCAGUCACAUAGACAGAUUCACAAAGAAAAGGCAAGAGAAGAUUAAUUUGCACUAAGUAGGGAAGUUUUUCUUCCUCUUGUUUUUGGCUCUCGUUUUUGGUGUGUUUAAUGGAAGGGAAGAGUCUCAUAUUUAUAGGCUUAUAGGAGUGAAUGAAUUUCACAGGAAUCUUCAAGAUUAGAUUGAAUAAAAACUGCAAGAUUAUAUCCAAACUGAAAGAUAGAGCUCAUCCAACAAAAUGAGAUAAAAUUGGUUUGAUAAAGAUAACGAUAAUAUUUAUCCAUCUUUUCAUGUGAAUUUCAAAUUCCCUCCAAGUUGGGUAUUGGGCAUCCAACCCAAUGGGCUGAUUACCUCUAAAUACCCAACAUAAUUGGGCUACUUCAAUUGUGGUGUGGAUUUAAUUCUUCAAUCCUGGGCUUAUAGCCUAUGAAGUUAAAACGGGCCUCGAUUUUUCAUCAUAGCCUAGGGGAUUUGGGCAUUACUUACCAAUCAUGCCCAACACUAUUUGCAUACUUUGUCCUUUUUACAUAAUUAUAUCAACUUUUUUUUUCCCUUUCGCAGAAAACUUUCGUAAUCAACUAUAUAUUCAAUCUAUGUACCAUCAAUUUACUCGCUUGCAUGCGUAUAAAUCCAUCUAUUAAUUUAAGUUAACCAACCAUAAGUAGAGCUGUGAAUUUUACUUGAUUAAAGAAAUACAUGGACUUGUCAUUUUAUGAAAUGGGGAACUAAAUACAAUGUACAAAAAGGAAUAUCUUGGUAAAUUAAUAACUAUUGAUUAAUGGAUAAAUUAAUAAAUUGUUAACUUAUAAAUUAUUUACUAUUCGCCAAACUGAUAUUUUUUUUUAUUCCAAAAUAAUUAAUAGAGGUUUAAAAAUACAAUCAUGCUACACAUCCAAGUUAAAAUCCAAACUCAAAUUCGGAUUGGACAAUUUGAAAAAUUAAAACAAAACACCUAAUCAUUUUUUGACACAUCCGUCUGUCUUUUCACUCGUAUUUCAAUCUGGCUAAAUAGUUUUAUUCUUAAAAAUAUAAAGCCAUUCAUCCUCCGGAGCUAUUUUCGGUUGAACCUAUAGUCAAUGAGGAGAAGUGCAAGCUUUUAAGCUUAUGGUACAAAUCUGUUGGAAAUUCUUAAUUUAUAUUGUUUUGAUUUACAUUUAUACUCUCAUAUCAAGUGAGAAUUAAUUUUUGACAAUUCUAACACUACUAUAAUUCAAUUAUUUCAAUAAUACCUUAUUUCUCAUUUUUUUAAUAUGUGUUUAAUUUAUUUAACCAUUUGGACAAUACUAUCAUGAUUUAUUUUGCCAACUAUCUAGUCACCAUCAAUGUACAUUUGACAUAUCCAUUUUACUUGUGUGCUUUCAACACACAAAACUCAAUUGUAAUGUAAUAAAUACUACAAAAUUUCUGAUCAUGUAUGAAUUUUUUGUUAUUAAUUCUCAACUAAUUAAUAUUCACAUUCACAUUCAUUUAAUUAAUAUUCAUCUUCAUUUAUGCAUUUUAGUGUUAUUAAUUCUGAUUAUAAGUUAAUUAGAAUUUUGCAUUCAAGAAUACAUUUCAUUAUUCAUGUUCUGAUGUUCAUGUAUGUAAUAAAAUUUAUUUACAGAAGUCCAAACAAGCAAACAAAAUAUAAUCAUAAUUUAAAUACACAAAAAUUAAGUUCCAUCUUACAAAAUAUUGUCUAAUGACAAUGGUUUACUAAUAUAGAAGAAUGAAUCACUGAUUAUCGUAUUCAAAUUAUAUAUAUAGUUUGAUUCUUAGUUAAGGUUUUAAAUUGGAACUAAACCAUAACCAAAUAGCUCUUGGUUCUAAGAAUCAAAAUCACUAAUUUUUUUGUAGAAUUGGAUCGAAUCUCUUGAUUUGGUUCAAUUCUGAUUUCGUUUGUUCAUUUUGUCCACCUUUACUUGUGCUCCGAUUUUAAUAGGAAAAUAUAAACAACUAAAUUUGACUCAUAUAAUAUUAUUCAAUUUCAAGGGUUCGGUGGGAGAACAUAUGUGCAAAGGCUGGGGCCACGUUUGACAGUAUAUAUUUUGAAAAGUCAAAAGUUAUCUGCAAGACUAAAACGUUGCAUUUAUUUCUAUUUAGAUAAUUUUCAAAAAAUAUUUUGACUCGUUAGAAAAGCUCUUAGAGAAAACCGUUCAUAAUAACUUCUUAUAAUACUUUUUUUUCAAAAUGUAGAAAUCUUGUUAAAUGGAUUCUAAAAAUCAUGACUAAGCUCUUUUAGAAAUAUAACAUUAAUUAAAUAAACAGAGACAUGAAAUAUACCAUAAAAGAUAUCAAUGAACGCAAAAAUAUUUUCUAUUAAGCUCAAGUUUGGGCUUUAUUUUUUCAAAAUUUAUUUUCAAUUACACAUUAUUCCAUAAAAUAAUAUUACCCAUAAACAAAUUUUAUUUUUAUUUUUUAAUAUUUUAACUACACAUUCUCUAAAAAAUUAUUAUUUCAAAAUACAUUUUCUCCCAAAAUUACAUUAAAAUGGAACCAAACAUGGCCUAAAUAAGUGUGAUUAGAUAAGCAUUUAUUUGUUACUCAACACGAUAUACAUACACACAAGAUAUAUCUAAUAUUAUUUUUUUUAAUUCACUCAGAGUCGGAUCAAUCCCUAAACAAAAAAGGCGGUCACCAACUUUAGGAAAACCCUCCAAAUUUUAUAAAAUUAAUUUCCAAAUAGCUUUGCCAUUGCAAUCUUUGAAUCAUUUUUUUUUCUUCUGCAAUAAUUAAAACACUUAUUUUCAGAUAUUGAUGGAAAUUUUGUAUUUAAAUAAAUUACUAGAAAUAUGAAAAAUUAAUGUCAAUUUUUUUUUCAUUGAUAAUGAAUUAACAAUUUGAAAAUUAGCUUAUUUGACAUUUAUUUCUCAAAAUAUGGAGUGUGAAUUAAACACAUGUUGAGUUGAGGUUGAGAUAUUGAUGCAAGUUCUUCCCUUAUGAAUCAGAUACAUUCAUAUUUGAAAGAGGUUGGGAAUAAUAAUUGACUGUUUGUCCUUUUUGUCUACGAUCAACGACGAAGCGCCUUUGGUGACCAUUGAUGACUAUAACGACAUAUUAUCUUCGAUAGUUGGUGUGUAUGUGAUUAUCAAUAAUAUUGGUGUCAAACUAUUGGUUAUUCAUUUCGAAAAUGAAUUAUCAACCAAAGUUGAUUCCCAUCAAAUUCAUCUAAGAAAAGUUGUCGGCGAUCAUCGAUGGUAUCUUUUUCGGUGAUCAUUUGCAUCAUUUAAUUUAUUAUUAUAUUUUUUAAACAAAUUUCUAAUGUUUUUUUUUUUUUACGUAAAAUCCCUAAAUUACUCAAUUCACACACAGACACACAUGAUAUGUAUAUGAAAAAUAUCACAAUCUUGUUUAGCCAAUGUAGGGAUAUGUUAGAGCUCAAGCCCAUCAUGUGUCGAUUUUCCCACGGGAGUCUUUUUGUUUUGUUUUCUUUAUUCUUUUAAUUUUUUUAAUUUUUUUUUUUUUUAUGUUUAAAGAAAAGUUAAUAUGGAUUAUAAAGGGAGUUGAGCAUUGUAUCUAUGUCGGUCCUUAACAGUUAACACCCCUGUCAAAUCUCACACCGUGCUGAACAAAUUGCCAAUCCAAUUCUACAGGAAAGUGUACAUUGUGCCUAGGGAUAUCAAUUUGAUUUGUCGGCUCGACGGCUCGUUGCUCGACUUGGGAAAAGCUCAACCUGGCCCGGCUCGUUGCUCAAAGGAAGAGAGAUGAGGCUCGAGCCAAGCCUUAUUUUUAUAGGCGAUUUGAGCUCGAGCCAACUCGUAUCACGAGCCAUUUUGGUCCGUGAUGAGCCAAACAACCACGAGCCAAAAAUGGUCCGGUGUUUGAAACUACGACUGCCCUCAUAAAAAGGCAAUUGUGUAGCUGCCUGUUAAGGCAGUUGUCCCGACCACCUUUAAAUAGGUAGCGAGGAGGCAACCAUGUUGCCUUAAAAAAAUGAGCUGACUGGUCUCGAUAAGGUCCUGAGCUGAGUCUAAACUUUUGGAUCAAGCUUUUGCUCAGCUCGUCUCGACUCGAAAUAAUAGAGCUUGAGUCUCAUGCUCAAGCCAAGAGUUUCGACUUGCGAGCCAACUCGGCUCGUUUGCAUCCCCAGUUGUAUCUGGCCUAACUCACCCAAAAACGUUUUGGUCUAAUCCAAUUUAUUCAUCUAGACUCUCUUAUAGAAUAUGUAAGCAUGUUCACCUAAGCAAGUUAUUUUUACGAUAAAAGCAUAAAAAAGGACAGAUUUUGUUUGUUUUUUUUCUUGUACUUGUAGAACAAUUCUUUUCUUUUUUUUUUUUUAACGCUAAAUACUAUUAAAGUAUUUUUUAUGAAUUUUAGCUUAAAAACUUAAUCUUUUACUUUCGAAUAAAUGUUUUUACAUUUUUAAGUUUAGCGAAACAUGCUAACUAUAAUUAACGUUGAAAUAUGGGAGCCCAUGGAUUUGACACGGACCUCCACGUAUAGAGAAUUGAGAAACACCACAAUACAAAGGUAUCUCUCUUCUACAAUGCAAAGAGUUAUGUAACAUAUAUAGGGGAAUUUUCACAGAAAUUUUACUGAAUUUCACAUGGGACAGAUUUAUUGACAGAUGACAAAACAAAAUUUUUUUUUUUGCAAUUCACUGUAUCCCUAUACUUGGGGGAUUUUCCACGCAAAUAUAAUUUUAGCCUUGUUUGUUUAGAUAAAAAUAAUUUUUUUUAGUAGAAUUGAUAAAAAGUUAAUGAAAUAUAUGAUUGAAAAAUUGUGGGUCCCAUAAAAUCUAUGGUUAAAAUUAAUUGUUAAUUUUGAUUAAAUUUUAAUUGAAAAUUUUUAACUAAAUCGAACAAGGUUUAAUAUAAGUCCUACAUUAUAACACAUUAUUCUGCAUUCCUUAGAAAUCAUGUUAAAAUAUUAAUGUUGCUUUAAUGAAAGGCUCCAUUGCUUAUUUCAUACAUAUUUAUACUUCUUACACCAUUCUUAAUUGAUCUAAAACAUACUUUAAAAUUUGAAGUUUCACCAAUCAUGAAAUUCAAUUUCUAAACAUGAAGUUGUUGAUCAUUUGAACUUAAUGUGCCCGAUCUAUUUUAAAAUGUCAACUUAAUAAAAGAAGUUAGUUUAUUUAUUUAUUUAUUUAUUUUUUAUACUUAACUGAUUAAUACGAGAUUUUACCUUUUAACAAAUGCCACCAAACAGCUUCAAAUCUAAGAUGCUAUUCCUAAAGUAAAUCUUCACACGUCUAUGAUCAAACAACAAUUAUGCUACAGUAAUAUAAUGUUCGACAUAAUUAUUGACAUAAUGCCACAUGGCAUUCCAUCAUUGGGUUAUUUUAAACACGGUCAACGUCCCAUCAAAUCGUCUAUUGCCAAUUGGGAUUAUGUUAUUGCAUUUGUUAAAAUUUUUAUGUGAAAGUGGCAAAAUCCAUCAAACAAUCAACUGGCUAGCCUUGAUAAUAUGGAGGAGAUACACAUGGCAGAACCUCAUCUGCAACCAGUUUUUACCUGCGGUUUAAGACCGAUACACGACCCUUUCCUUGGUCUACAAACUGAAAAUGGGUGUCAUUCGGGAGAGAAUCAAUAGUUUCCUUUUCAAUUGGGAGGGAUUCAUCUAAGAUUAUGGGUGUCAUGUGUCAGUAUAGCUGCCUAAAUUACAGCUACCCAGGAUAAGUAUAUGCGUUAUCUAUCUAUAUACAUGACUUGCAUCUAUCUAUCUAUCUGUAUGGAUCAAAGGUGUCGAGAUUUAAAUAUAUAUACCAAACCAAAAGAGCUGAGGAACAUGGCGAACCAUCCCAAGAUUGGGGUGCCCACAAGCUCUAAUUAUAUUGUGGCCGUGUACGUGAAAAUGCAUGCCUCAAAUGCCGAUGAACCGAGAGAAAUCUAUUGAGUAUGCAUGAGAAGAAGAGAGCAAAUCAUAGCCGAGAACAACUUGCCGGACCUUUCAAACAGUAGUUGCCAUUUUUCGGCAAGUCAUCCUUGGCUGCAAUUUACUCUCUACCUCUUCAUGCAAAACUCUCAAGAAGGCUUGUCUAAUUCUACAUUCAACUGAGCAUUGUCUUGUGUUUAUAUAGGCACAAAAGAAUGGAGAGUGUAAAGGAUGAUUAAUUUAUUAGUGCAUGAGUGGCCCCCGAAAUAUUCUGUCACACCCAAUCUGCUCACUUAUUUCAUCUAAAAGGUCAAGCUUAUCAACAUUUUAUCGCAGCAAACAAAGACUUCCUUUUACAAAAAUUCUAAACUAGUUAGACUUAUUUAGAAAAGCAUAUAGUAGUUUAAGUCGUUCGAUGAAAUAGAGGCCGAAAAUCGUAGGGCAUGCCUUGUAUGCACAGAGUUAGCAGCCACACAAAAUCAUUAAGAUUCUCAUGUCCUCGGAAACAACCAAAGCUUGCCAAAGAGUUGACAAGCAAAGAGGUGGUCUAAUGGUUGAAUUCUAAAACAAUAAUGGGAAUAGAAUAUAUGAGAAAGGAAUCCAAGAAAAGAAGUAGAUUGGUCAACAUUUGAAUUAAUAUUGUCGAUAUAUAAUAGGCUCGAGGGAUUGGAAGAACAUGGUUCCAUGGCAUUUAUUUCAUUCAUGUGUGUCUUCUCUUUUACUCCUACUCAUAUUGGCCUUUCAAAGGUUCCACGUAUCAAAGUUGAAAAAGUUCAAACGAACAAUUCAAUCGAUUUAAAAUUUGGAUGAGUAACUAAGCCAAAUUCAAAGAUUAAUAUUUUAAAAUGAAGCAUCAUCUUACAAAAAUGUUAAGGAUAUGAUUUCAUAUAGUAUGACACCAAUUUUAUUCCACCGACAAUAAUCAAUUUACAGAAAGAAAAAUAAACACGCAAGAACAUGCAAUAAUUAUAAAGAUUCACCUUAAUAUGAGACUACGUCCUCUUCCACUACUUCAUUAUUUCACUACGAUUAAAAAAAAAAGAUUUACAAGAAAAAAUUGUACAAACCCGAAAUUAUUGGUCCGAGGACUCCAUAAAUUAACAAUUAAGCUAGACAAUAAAUUAGAUUCCACAACUUAAUAAUUUAUUCAUUGACAAAUAAUAUAUUGUAGUCUCAAUGUGAAAAUAUUAACACAAAAACCAUGGAUAUGACAUUAAUGUGUUUUAGAUAGACACAAUAUUAAACAUUCAAAACCGUGUAAUUCCUUAAGAUUCCAUACAGCACACUGCAAAAAUGCCCCAUAAAAUAAUAUGAUCAAUAUAUAUUACACUGUUCUUAUUACUGCUGGGUCAAGCCGAAAUGCCAAAAGGGGGAGGCCAAAAAGUUGCUUUCUAGAAUGAAGGCUUUGAAAUUUUUAAGUCAAAAAGACUUUGAAACAAAAUUAUGGACGUCAAUCAAUUGAGAAAAUUUAAGUGAGCCCACAAUAUAUAUUGUAAAUUGAGUGGAAUUGAACAUGGAAAAUUCGAUGAAAAGGCAAGAAGUAUGCCUAUUGAUCAUUUGAAAGAUAACUCGAAUCAAAUGAAAGAGUAUUGAGCUUCAAUCAACCUUGUUAAGAGAGUUAAAUAAAAGCUUUUAAGUCGAUUAAUUUUUUUACAUUUGAGAACAUAUAAGAUUUACCCUUAAUAUAUCAACAGAUAAGAUUUACCCUUAAUAUAUCAUCAAGAAUGGCGACUCAUUUAAGAACAAUAAUCUUAAAAUUUUAUUAUGCUUUUGAGAGUAGUUCGUUUGAGCUCUAAAACCACAUUAUUUAUCGGAUUUGUACCUUGAAAGAUAACCUUAUUAAGAGUAUGCCAAAAAUUGAUUAAUUAUUUCUUGUCUACCCUUACCAGAAAAUAUUUAAAUAUUAUUUCGAUUUUGGAAUUUCUUUUUUCAUUUUGAGCAAUAGGGAAAAAAAAACAUUAAACUUGAGCAUGUGUAAAUGUUUAUUAAACUCGUUACAUUAUUUCAAUUUUGGUAAAUGUUUUAAUAAUUUAUAUGAUUGAGUUGAAUAUUUUUUAAAUUAGUUUUAGUUUAUGAUUUAGUGGCAGUCGAAUCGUUAAGGAUUCGGAUCGUCACAGUUGCUCUUGUAAUCUUUAGGUUUCAUUGAUCGUUUGACUUAUUAAAUCAUUACAGAAUUAAUAUAAUGAAUUUACACAAGAUUAAUAGAGAAAAAAUAGAAGUUCAAUUCGAAUGCAAAAAUGCUUCUGAUAUUUGGUCCAAAACCACGAAGUGGUGGUGCGUUCUUCCACUUCGAAAACUUGGAUGCACCUUGAGACCAAAUCCAAAUGGUCAAAAUCACUCUUCUCUUCCUAUGAGGGAUAAUCAGCUUUUUGUUUCCAUUCAUACGAAAUCUGUAAAAGAGUUGUGAGUUAGAGAUGACAUCUCACCGUGUAAUAAGGACAACCCGUGGCCCGAUUCUUUUAAUCUAUUUCAUGCUCUUCAUCUUUUACAUCUUUCUUUCUCCCUAAGUUUCGGUUUCCCGGUGAUGAUUUUUCAAGUUCUUUUAAAUAACUCUUCUUUUGAGGGAGGAAAUGGGAAUUUAUCCACACUAUUCAAAAAUGAAUUUCAACUCCAAAUCAAAAGGUUUAGCAAUAAUUGCUCCCACUUGGAAUAUUCGGGAAUUCGAUCUUCACCGCUUUCAAUUUGUUUACAAUUAUUUGCAACUCAUGCACUUGAGGUAAUAAGGAAAUAUUAUCUAGAAACUUGAAAUCAAAAUAUUUAGAAAUUAAAAUUUUUUUUAUACCUUCCUCUUUAGCCUUAUAUUUGCUUUCAAGUGCGUACAAGAUAUCUUUUAUUGAUGUAGUGUUGGUGUAGAGAUCAUAGAAUUGAUCCGAUAACGCAUUUAGGAUGUGACCACGACAUAUUAAUCCGUCCUCUUCCCGUUUAUUUCUUUCUGCACGAACUUCAUCAGUGUCUUUGUCUGUUGCAUCGAAAAUUAGCUCAAAUUUGAAUCAAGCUCGUAGAAGAUCUUUAACGCCGUUAGAACGAAUUUGAGAUUGUCCUGCCAUCUCGUGAAAUUUGAUCCAUGAAAUCUAUCCAAACGCACUAAAUCUUGAUUCAUCAUUUUGAUUGUAGAGAGCGUAGAUUUCGUCUCCAUCGUAGUAAAAUGACAAAUAUCAUUUGAGAAUAUUAAGAAAAAUACAACAAUGGAAGACAAAUUUAAGAAGAAGAAGAUGAAUAUAUAUAUAUCAAAGUAGGCUUGAACAUGAAAAAUAUAUCAUUGUCCUCAAACGAUAUUUGCCUCCUUCAUAAUGCUUUUAAGGAUUAAAAUUGAUAAAUAUUUGUAGAAUUGAUCAAGCCUUAAUGAAAACACGAAAAUCAAAAGCGAUAUUCAAAUGAACAAGUGAAAAAAGAAGAAUCAGAUUAUGUAGAGGGACAAAAUAGUAAAGAGUAAGUUUUUUCAUGUGUUUUUGGGAUGAACACAACAUAUAUUUAUAGAUUUCAAUCAUUCCUACAUGAAGUGAUUCCAACUCAAACAAUCAGGUGCAUGGAUUCACGACCACCAGAAAUUUGAAAAAAUUCCAACCAAUGGUCAUAUUUUUCAACUAUGCGACCACUUAGGCUAUAACUAUGCGGUUGUAUAGUUAUAGCAUUUGUUGCGUCAAAUUUUUCGGCAAACCCAUAUGCGACCACAAGCCAAAAUGGCUUGUGCGGUCGUAUAGAUCAUUUUAGGGCAAAUUCUUCCUUCUUUUUCUCAAUUCAUCCUUCAUCCAUUUUAAUUUUGAACAACCAUAUUGCAAUAGUUUGUAGCAUUAGUUCCACUAUGAUUAGAUUUAUUGACAAAGAGGUUUUGAUUGAUAUACCUAUAUUAAGAGGUUGUUUGAGCCCCAUUUUUUCAACAAAUAAAAAUGCAUUUCGAAAUAAUGUUAUGAUAGAGAAUGUGUGGUUAAAAAAUAAAGGUAGGUUUGAGUUUGCAUGUAACGUUAUUUUAUCGAAAAAUGGGUAGUUAAAAUGAGGUAAGAUUACUGUUGAAAAAUAUAUUUUUAUAAAAUAAGGAGGGGUGGUCAAACAAAGGCUAAAUUGAGGAACUCAAUUCUCCAACUGGAAGUCAGGAAAACCUAGGAUACAUAGUGGAAAGUACUUAUUAGGUGGAUGUACUUGGCUAAGUUGGUGGAGGUUAUUUAUUUUAUGCCCCGUUUGCCCCCUUAAAACUCUUCAAUUUAAUUUAAAUUUUUUCUCCUAUUUUCAUCCACACAAUCUUCAAUGAAAUAAUGUUACACAAAAAUUAAAAAAUUUUCAUUCUUUUACAAUUUUCCAUUUUUUAAAAAAAUAUUAUUCUUCCCAUUAUAAACCCAAAUAAUGGGGACCAAAUGGGGGCUUAGUCUCCAUAUAAUUUGAGAAACUGGAAAAAAAAAUGCCUACUUGUUUUAGAUCGAAUUUUUUAAAUCUGUUUAGUAAAUUAUUUGUUUAGAGAAGCAGUAAAUAUCUCGCGCGUUAUCAGCAUAAAAAUGGUCAGAAGAAGUGGUGUAUUAGCCCAGUCUUAGUUUUAACUAAUUCAAGGGUUAGAAGAAGUGUUGUGUUAGUCUAUGCACCUUUGUAGCUUUUCGUCUACGCACCUGUGUAUCUUUUCGUGUGUAUUGGGUGUAUUUAGGAAGAGUUAGUAUUUUAUAUGCUUCUAGUAUAACUUCUUUUUACUUGAGCACCUUGUGUAUCUAUAGAUCAUCCCACUUCUUUCCCCUAGAAGAAUUCAUUUGGUUGUGGUUCAUUGCUCACAUGAUAACAAGCUAUGCUGUAUUAUCAAUAUGUUUGAGGCUUACUUCAUGAAUCCUUUUUAGACACUUUGUUUAAACCAUUGCAUAAUUGUCGAAAGACCUGGUUAAAUCAAAUUGUUUGCAACUGUUAGCUUUUUUGUUAUCCUAUUCUUGUAAACUGUUCUAUUAGGACAAAGGUGUGCUUGUAAAUGAGAGCUUCUAUACAUGCUAUUACCCAACUGUUUGUUAUUGGAUUUAAUCAUAACAAUAGGAAAUUAAUUUUCCUUUGAAUAUUAAACCCAUAUAAAAAACCUUGAGAUCAUUGGAUGUUCUAAAUCAUCAUACAUAAAAAAAGGGAAGAUGAUAACCUUAAAAGACCUUUUAAUGGCCUAGCCAAAUACUUUCUCCCUUAGAUCUUCUCCCUUGUUCUCCUUUAGGUGCCUUCCUCUUUUUGGAAAAUGAAAAAAUGGCUAACCCUAAGCAUAUGAAAAUGUGCCCAUAAGGGGUAUAUUUAUAAUACUCAAUUAAGGUUUCAAAAUUGCACAAAUUUUCUUGGACUUUAUUGUAGUGGACCAAUUAAGUUUCACUCCUUUAUUGGAGCCAAAAGAGGGAUAUAAUUGGACUCACAUGACUCAAGCUCCAAUAGAUGUAUCUAAUUGGGUGAAUUCUUGACCCAUCGAGAUACACCUAUUAAUCUCGACUUGUUCCAUUAAAAAAUCGAGAUUGCACUCUCGAGUCGAGUGAUAUUUAUAGAAGUAAAUUAUGAUCCAAUAACAAUAUUCUCUUAUUAUCGUUUCACAAGUCAACCCCCAUUUAUCCAUCAAUAUGUUGAAAUUGACAAAAUGACCAUUUUGCCCUUCAAUAUGUAUUACCCUUUAAGUUCCAUUUUCAUACCUCAAAUUUAUUGUGAUCAAAUCAAAACAUAAAGUUCAACGAUCUCAUCAUUGGACUACUAAGUUCCGGUUCAAUUUGCCUAUCGAAUAUAUCUUUGAGUGAUGAUCGUCUCAUCUCACUGAUUGAUGAAUUCCACUAUCGCAAGUAUAUGAUCUCUAAUUGUUUCGGUUCGAUUCCCAAAAUACCAAGAUCAAUCUUUUAUUUAAGAAUUCACUCAUUAGUACUUCAAAGAACUUGAACUAGCAAUCAAAGGUACAUUACUCACUUGAAAUUUAGGUGACUUUUUGAUAAUCAAGUAGAAUCUCAUUUCAAGCAAUCACAAAUAAGUUAUCUACGCAGUCCUGUUCAAUGUGUAUCGAAGUAUAUUAUUGUUCUUAUUCCAAAAUCUAGAAAAAUAUUAAUAAGAACAAUGCAAUCUUAUCAACAUAAAGUGUCCAACUUUACGUACUGAUUGUGAACGGCAUAUUUUGAUCAUAUCAUAAAUUGUGUCUUACUAUACUCGAACCAUCAAGUAUACAAUUUGUGACAUCAUAUAUGAUCAUGAAACCUCAAAUAAUAGCUUCAAAUUAUAACACGUAAAUAAACGAACGUCAAUUCAUAACUUGAUUUUACAGAAUCCUACUCGAAAAAAGGGCAUCAAACUAACACCAACAAUCAAAGUUAUUCCCUACAUUUAUCCUUGGUUGGUGCCACGUUAACUUGUUAAUGCAUAUAUUUCAUUUUUAUUUAUAUCCAUUAUAGCAUGGAUAAAACCAUCUCAUCACAAUCAUUUCUAUUAUGAUAAUCUUAUUGAUAUUUUUUCCAUUAACGAUACCAUAGAGGAUAAAUGGUCUAAUAAUUAUUCUUCAAAAUUAAUUAGUGGUUUAACUUUACAGAUAGUACAGAUAGGAUGCUAUUGUUUUCAUACAGAAAUUCUACAGUACGUCAUUUUGUUCAACCUCCUUGUACCUUAUAAAAUCUUGAGAUAUAAACUAUUUUUCUAGAUUCAGAGGGAAGUGUUGGUUUAAUAAGAAAUCAUCUUACUGCUUUAAAGAAAUAUACAUAUGGCAAAUCUGUGAGAACAAGGCACGUACUUUCUUUUACUUGCUUUCUAUUUCUUUCACAGUUUGGUACUUUUCUUUUGUGUUUUCCCUAAUUAGCUUAAUGGGCCAAGUUUAAAAGAUUUAGAAGCUUAUAAAUGUUUCAAAUUGAAUUGUUUUUGAGAACUUAUUUACUGACCCAAAUAUGGUCAAGAUCCUCUCUCUCGACCGUGUUAUACGAUGAUUGGUGAAUAUAGUUACUCCCACCACUGGACACGAAAAGGGGACAAGUCAGAGGUCUGGUUUUAGAAGCAGCCUAAUAAUCUCGGUCGCUGGUAUUCCUGGUCAAUGUAGAAGUGAACAGAUGAAUAUACAUUCCACAAAACAUCUCGUCUUUUCCCGUAUAUUAGUUUUCCUUUCUAGGAUUGGCAAUCUUGAUUUGGUUGAAAAAGCAUCAAAGUUGAACUGUUUCGUUUUUAGCAUAUAAUGUCUUGUUUGCUCAAGGAUCUUUGCAAUUCAGUUGCUAUAGAAAGGGGUUCAUUGGGGAAGUGAUGAUUUUAAAUUUUUUUGUUAUUUGACUCUUUAUAUUCACUAUUUCCAAAAUCUCCAUAAUAAUACUCCAAAACACAAUUCCUAAUUUAACAAUGUUUUAAAAUAAUUCCUAUGCAUCUCUUUCACCAUCUGGUUAUGCAGCAAUAACUUUAUGUUAAAAAAACACACUAAAAUUGCUCUUACAGAACUACCAACACAAUUUCCAGUAAGAAAAAAGAAUCUCUCUGUGCUCUUUGAUCUUCACCUCUGUACAAACCCACUAUCUUUCUUUACAUUCUUACUAAGUUGAACCAUCAGUUGACCAAGUCUAGGAGUGCUUUUAUCCUAAUCUCAGCCUAAACUCACUAUAAGUUUCUGUAUGCUAGGCAAUUGAGCAUGCGAAGAAAGCUGGUCUUACCUUAUAUUGUAUCAGUUAAAGGCUUUUAGCCAUCUACCUCGCUACUGCCUUCUGCAAAAAGGCUUUAGGGUUUUGUCAUGAUUCUUUGUGAUCUUUUGGUUGAGAAUGUCAGAAGGAACAUGGGAUUGGCAAUAUGUUCAUAUGGAAAAUGCUAUUUGUAAAAAAUCUUGGGAUCCCCCAUGUGAGGGGAAUGUACACCCGGUGUACGUGUAGCAAAACUCAUGGUCAUAUUGGUACCCAAACGUCAAUGUCACCGUGUUCAAUUCAAUCUUAUACAGUUCUAGGCAUUUAUGAUUUAUGCCACCUUGGAACUUGCUUGGCACAUCUUUGUGCUUUUGACUCUAAUCCAGUCUUUGACUACAAGGCAAUGUAAAUAAUGUCAGCAUUUUUUUUUUUUUUUUUAGGUAUGAGACUUUUUAUCUCUAUUCAAACUCAAGAACAUCCUCAGCUUUUUGACCUCUUUUUCUUCAAUAAAUAUAACUGACCUACUUUCUAAGGGAUCAUAAACUUGACAAAUGAGAUGCGGAGAUAGAUACAUUCGACUUUUUUUGUCCGAGUUCAAUUUUUGUUUUUGUUCAGAGAUAGUGCAUGUUUAUUCUCCAAGAUAAAUUUUCUCUUACAUUUUAUAUGCAGUCCGAAAUUCAAACAUCAGAAUCCUAGUGAUCCAGAUCACAUACAUCCGCAGCUUCCAUUCUUGCUCCAAUUGGCCUCAGACCUAUCAUUUCAGCUUCCAUCUUCAGAAGCGAUCUGUAUAUUAAUAGGUUAACAUGUAAAGUUCAGAAUACAUAAACGAUAUAUUAUUCUUCCACACAACUCCAAUGUGUGGAUAUAUUGGUGUGUGCAGAUUGCAGAUGAUAAUAUUUUUCCAAAAUAAUAAUAAUAAUAAUAAUUCUCGUGCGUGGCUAUCUAAUAUUCCUGACUUCCCCAUAUACACUACAACCUGUGAAGUAGAAGGUAGCUUCUGUUUUUUUCCUGUAAUUUUUGUUGUCGUUCAUGAGGUCGAAUUUAUGUUGAACGAUCAGAUACGCAAAAAGAGUAUUGCUGCAGCAAUUACUCUUGAAUCCCAUGUUGCAUGUGGGAGUUUUGUCUUCUGGAUUUGUAAGCACAUUAAACACCGUCCGUCAGAAGUUGGUUUUAAAGACGAGUUCACCCCCAUUCGUUUACAAUAAUGGUAUCGGAGCAAGUGUCCCUGGUUGGGGGAUCCUCGUCUCUGACGGGUAUUUAGAGAUGGCUAAUUCCAGUAAAGAACUUGAUUUCGCAGAAUUCAGUUGGAAUAAAUGGGGACUUUACUGUAAAGCGGGUGGAUUAUAACGAUUACUUGUGAAUCCAUCAUCGCUCAUGGAAAGGUUACUUCUGGUGAGAUAAGCACAUUUAGCGGCAACUUAUUUUUGCAGUCCUAAAUUGCAUAUUCUUUCUGAAUUCUUCAGAGCAGCCAGUAUAAAACGUGCAUAAAGAAAUGAUAGAGGACCAGGUGUAUCCUUUAAUUAGUGCAUGUCUGCCCAUAAAUUUGUACUCCUUUAUCCACAUAAAUACGAAAAUAAUUCCUAGUGUGGGUACUUCUAACCUAGUUCCAUUAAUAUUCCUCUGUAGUAUGACAAAAAAGUAUCUUGAGAGAUUUCUUAGUCGUUUAAUCGUUUCAAAAUAAACUUGACUACACAAUAAUUACUCGUUUAUGUACGAGAUUUUCUUAUCGAGAACAAGUUUUUUUAAGACUGAUUUUUAUAUUGCCGCGUUGCAAUUUUCUAGAAUGUUACAACCCUUUAUUGAAUUAAAAAAAAAAUAGCGACUUUUCGAUAAGCGAGUGGGGCAGGCGACAAUAGCCAUAACUCGAACAAAAGGAAAGUAGUUGAUUAGGGAUAGACUCAAACCAAUAUGUUAUUGGUGCUCCGAUCUUAUCACACAUACAAUUCUGGCAAAGCUAUUAAUAGUCAGCAAUAAAAACAAAAAUCCUAUAUUUUUUUUUGGGAAAAUAGAAAUCUCCAUGUAUAUAUAUAGAAAAAAUCUCACAUACAUGCCUAACCCAAUAUAGACUAAGGGCACUGUGAUUUUCAGAAAUUCUCAUUUUUAGUUUUCCAUAUCCGAAUCAAGACUAAAAUGAUCCUAUUCUUCCUACUACCGUCUCUACCUGUUAUUUUAUUCUUCCUGAUUUUGACCCAGAAAAGAUUGGUGAAGAAAAACCUUGUUCCACCAGGUCCUCCAGGUAUCCCCUUCAUUGGAAAUCUGCUCCAAUUUGCUCCUGCCACUCCUCAUCUAUAUUUAUGGCAACUUGCAAAGAAAUAUGGUCCUCUUAUGUCCAUGAAGCGUGGUUCUGUUCCAGUACUUGUGGUUUCUUAAGCAAAAAUGGCCAAAGAAGUACUUAAAACCCAUGAUCUUACUUUCAGUAGCAGGCCUAAAUUUAUUAGCUUUCAAAGCUAUCCUAUAAUGGCUUGGAUGUAGCCUUUGCGCCUUAUGGUGAAUCUUGGAGGGAAAUUAGAAAAAUCUGUGUUCUUCAUUUCUCAAGCAAUAAACAAGUGCAAUCUUUUACCUCUCUUCAGGAAGAUGAAGUUUUUCGUAUGAUCACAAGGAUCUCAGAUUUGGCACGUUCAAAUCAUGGUCAUCUUACUAACUUAAGUGAAACAGUAUUGACUUUCACGAGCAGUUUAAUUUAUAGAAUUGCUUUUGGAAAGAAGAUUGAUGGUCAGGAAUCAGAAAUUAAGAAGUUUCAUGAACUUACGCAUCAAGCUGACGCGAUGCUGGGUGGCUUAAUUGUUUCUGAUUAUUUACCUUCAUUUAGUUGGGUGGAUAAACUCUCCGGUAUGGCAACUCGACUCGAGAAGACGUUCCAAAACUUGGAUUCAUUCUAUCAAAAACUCAUCGACGAGCACUUGAAGCCUAGUAGGUCGAAAUCAACGAAUAAGGAUAUUCUUGAUCUCUUGAUCCAGCUCAAAGAACAACAAUCUUGUGCUGUCGAGCUCACCCUGGAUCAUAUAAAAGCAGUACUGAUGGUAAUUUAUCAACUUUUGAUAAUGAUGACGACUAAGUUUAUCUUUAGACGUUUAAAUGAUUAACUAACUUAUAGUGACUUUUAGUGCUGCUUGGUAGAAUAUAUUUAUUGCAGGAACGGAUACGAGUGCAGCAACAAUAAUUUGAGCAAUGACAAGCCUGAUAAAGAAUCCGAAUGCGAUGAAGAACGUGCAAGCAGAAAUCAGAUAUCAGGUCGGAAAUAAAGGCCGAGUGGACAAAGAUGAUUUGGAGAAACUUCCCUAUCUAAAGGCAGUAAGAAAGGAGAGUUUUAGAUUAUACCCUCCAGCUCCACCUCUAGUGCCAAGAGAAACAAUGAAAAGCUGCAUUAUAGAGGGAUAUGAAAUCCAACCCAGAACCUUAGUUUACAUCAAUGCAUGGGGCAUUGCAAGAGAUCCUGGGUAUUGGGAAAAUCCAAUGGAAUUCUGGCCUGAAAGAUUCUUAAAUAGUGCUGUUGACAUCAAAGGUCAGGAUUUCGGGUUGAUCCCAAUUGGGUCCGGUAGAAGAAAUAGCCCCGGAAUGUCUCUAGGACUUGGAACAGUGGAGCUUGCACUUGCCAAUCUUCUUUACUCAUUCGACUGGGAAUUGCCUCGUGGGAUGAAAGCGGAAGACAUUGACUCUGAUGUUUUGUCAGAAAUUACAGUACAGAAGAAAAAUGCACUUUGUAUUGUGCCUAGAAACUACUUGUGUACUUGACUGCUCACUCACUAAUGAUUUCAGCUUUCAAAACAAUGUAAAAUAUAGAAAACUUGAUGCGUACCCUAGUAGGUUUGUUGGCAAGGCUCAUUGAGAAAUUAUGUCUCCCAGUAUUGUACUACUUUCCUUGUAUAUUACAUAUUUCUAUUCAAAAUAAAGAUUGAAUAUUAAUCUUCAAUUUCACUUAUCAGAGAAGAUUUAUCGACUUGGUAAUCCACAGCUGGAUUUAGAUUUUAUUAUUUUCUUUUUAAUCAAAAAAUUCGUAAUGGUUAGAGAUAUUCAUUGUAAUCACAUAAUUAGCUUGCUCGUGAUGUGAAAGAUUGAAUUCAAGAAGAUUGUAAUCAAACCUCGAUAUCUACAGUGCUAACAUGGAAAUCAUCAAGGCCAUCUAGAAGGCUGGAUUGGGAGGGGAGGCAUGGACACAGUAUGGAGAGUUACGUCCACAUUUUCGACCACAGCAACUAAUAUUUCUCGAGCCAGUCAGUCCUAAAGUGGCCAUAAGCAGUUCAGAACUGAGAAUAAAGUCACGAGUAACAAUGAAAAGCUGCAUUAUACAGCGAUAUGAAAUCCAGCCCAGAACCUUAGUUUACAUCAAUGCUUGGGGCAUUGCAAGAGAUCCUGAGUAUUGGGAAAAUCCAAUGGAAUUCUGGCCUGAAAGAUUCUUAAACAGUGCUGUUGAUAUCAAAGGGCAGGAUUUCGGGUUGAUCCCAUUUGGGUCUGGUAGAAGAAAUUGCCCCGGAAUGUCUCUAGGACUUGUAACAGUGGAGCUUGCACUCGCCAAUCUUCUUUACUCAUUCGACUGGGAAUUGCCUCGUCGGAUGAAAGCGGAAGACAUUGACUCUGAUGUUUUGCCAGGAAUUACAGUACACAAGAAAAACGCACUUUGUCUUGUGCCUAGAAACUACUUGGGUACUUGAAUGCUCAUGAAUGAAUGAUUUCAGCUUUCAAAACAAUGUAAAAUAUAGAAAACUUGAUGCGUACCCUAGUAGGUUUGUUGGCAAGGCUCAUUGGGAAAUUAUGUCUCCCAGUAUUGUACUACUUUCCUUGUAUUUACAUAGUUUUAUUCAAAAUAAAGAUUGAAUAUUAAUCUACAAUUUCAUGCAUUAUAGAGGGAUAUGAAAUCCAACCCAGAACCUUAGUUUACAUCAAUGCAUGGGGCAUUGCAAGAGAUCCUGGGUAUUGGGAAAAUCCAAUGGAAUUCUGGCCUGAAAGAUUCUUAAAUAGUGCUGUUGACAUCAAAGGUCAGGAUUUCGGGUUGAUCCCAAUUGGGUCCGGUAGAAGAAAUAGCCCCGGAAUGUCUCUAGGACUUGGAACAGUGGAGCUUGCACUUGCCAAUCUUCUUUACUCAUUCGACUGGGAAUUGCCUCGUGGGAUGAAAGCGGAAGACAUUGACUCUGAUGUUUUGCCAGGAAUUACAGUACACAAGAAAAACGCACUUUGUCUUGUGCCUAGAAACUACUUGUGUACUUGAAUGCUCAUGAAUGAAUGAUUUCAGCUUUCAAAACAAUGUAAAAUAUAGAAAACUUGAUGCGUACCCUAGUAGGUUUGUUGGCAAGGCUCAUUGAGAAAUUAUGUCUCCCAGUAUUGUACUACUUUCCUUGUAUAUUACAUAUUUCUAUUCAAAAUAAAGAUUGAAUAUUAAUCUUCAAUUUCACUUAUCAGAGAAGAUUUAUCGACUUGGUAAUCCACAGCUGGAUUUAGAUUUUAUUAUUUUCUUUUUAAUCAAAAAAUUCGUAAUGGUUAGAGAUAUUCAUUGUAAUCACAUAAUUAGCUUGCUCGUGAUGUGAAAGAUUGAAUUCAAGAAGAUUGUAAUCAAACCUCGAUAUCUACAGUGCUAACAUGGAAAUCAUCAAGGCCAUCUAGAAGGCUGGAUUGGGAGGGGAGGCAUGGACACAGUAUGGAGAGUUACGUCCACAUUUUCGACCACAGCAACUAAUAUUUCUCGAGCCAGUCAGUCCUAAAGUGGCCAUAAGCAGUUCAGAACUGAGAAUAAAGUCACGAGUAACAAUGAAAAGCUGCAUUAUACAGCGAUAUGAAAUCCAGCCCAGAACCUUAGUUUACAUCAAUGCUUGGGGCAUUGCAAGAGAUCCUGAGUAUUGGGAAAAUCCAAUGGAAUUCUGGCCUGAAAGAUUCUUAAACAGUGCUGUUGAUAUCAAAGGGCAGGAUUUCGGGUUGAUCCCAUUUGGGUCUGGUAGAAGAAAUUGCCCCGGAAUGUCUCUAGGACUUGUAACAGUGGAGCUUGCACUCGCCAAUCUUCUUUACUCAUUCGACUGGGAAUUGCCUCGUCGGAUGAAAGCGGAAGACAUUGACUCUGAUGUUUUGCCAGGAAUUACAGAUGUAUUGUUUGUAAUAUUUUUCUAUCAAAUAAUCCUAUACCUGCAGCAUUGUUCCAGAACUAAAUGUAUAUCUCAAGAUCCCAACUACUUGGCAUUGAAAAAAUAUAGUGCAUCUAUGUAACUCUCCUGCUGUAACAAGCUACCGACUCUACACCCCAUCCUAUAUAUUCAAGGACAUCAUCAUGCAAAAGUGUAAUUCAGAAUUCAAUGUGUAUAUUUAUUGUUUGUAAUAUUUUUCUAUCAAAUAAUCCUAUACCUGCAGCAUUGUUCCAGAACUAAAUGUAUAUCUCAAGAUCCCAACUACUUGGCAUUGAAAAAAUAUAGUGCAUCUAUGUAACUCUCCUGCUGUAACAAGCUACCGACUCUACACCCCAUCCUAUAUAUUCAAGGACAUCAUCAUGCAAAAGUGUAAUUCAGAAUUCAAUGUGUAUUUGAGUCGCAUUAUUUUUGAAGAAUAUAUUUUGGAGUAGUAUAUUGAUAGAAAAUGUAUGAUUAAAAAUUAUGUAAAAGUUCUAAAUUUGCAUAUAAUAUUAUUUUAUUGAAAAAUGGAUUGUUGAAAUGAUAUAAGAAAACUAUUUUAGACUGUAUUUUUUCAAAAUAAACAGGGCAUCAAUCAUCCUUCCCUAGUAGUAAACAACCAACAACUUAAGCAUUGGAAUGACUUCACGCUUCAUAUUUUCAAUAGCCCACCUGCCUAACAUUGAAUUGUUUUCAAGAUUCUAGUUAAGUUUUGGGUUGAACCAAUCGAGGCGAGAGCGAAGCAAUAGACAAGCUGAGCUUAGAAGACAUCAAGGGCACAGCUAAAAUGCAGGCUGUAAGGAAAUAUCAGAUAUUAGAUAGGUUACCUUUUCAUUAACCCCUUUAUACCUAUCUUCUCAAAUUCCCUGCCGAUUAUACAGUUCUGUGUAUGUAAUAUGCAGUUUCUUGGAUGAAUAUUCAACAUGAAAGCACCUGUUGCUAACUAUCUAACAAUAAAGAUUGAAAUAUUUCUUCACAGCCCCCAAGCAAAAAAACAAAAAAUCGAAAAAGGAGGCUGAGAGCCUAUACAAGGCAAAAGGAAAAUGCAUAUAAAUGGCCACACAAAUUUAUACAGGGGUAAAUUCUACGGGAAAAUGCAGUUAAGCAUAAACAAUCUUUUACCAUAGAUAUUCAAUACCCAAUAAAAGCAAGCAGUGUCUAUAAACCCAUAAUUCAUAUAAUCAAAAUUCCAGCUUAACCAAGUAGUAACAUUCAGUAGGCAACAAUGUGAAAAAAUUAUACUAAUCAAAGAGAGAGAAUCCCAUGUCAUCGUCACUUUCCUCUUUCUCUUCCUUCUUCUCCUCAGCAGCAGGUGCCUCAGCUGCAUCGCCAGCAGCAGGAGCAGCAGCUGCUGCAGCUCCACCUCCUCCAAUGAAUGCACCACCACCAACAGCACCACCAAUAAUCACCUGUGCCAUUGCAACAGAUUCAAUUAUAUACUGCAACACAAGCAUCCCUAGGACGAACCUAACAAGAGUUCUAGAAAAUUCGACUAUAACACAAGAUUUUCACACUAUAAAAUAAUGAGAAUUCGGGGUUUAAUGACACAACUGAACACACGUUGAACAAGGAAAAGAACACAAAUAGUAAAUUAUAAUUCCUGCAAUAGAAAGGUAGAACUUUCCGAAGCCAAAUGUACACACGUUAGUGUUGCUCGCUUCGCAAUAAAGUCUUAUACUUGCCACACUAGACCCAAACACAAAAUAGAGGGAAUGACGCAUAUCAAUCAGAUCUACACUCAUCGAAUAAUUAAGUUACGAGUAAAGAUAAAAAAU